CUGGACCGUGAAGCGGUCGGCUUACUGUUCGGCCGGUUCACAUUUUCCAGUUCGGUCCGUCGUCGGGCGUUGAUAGGAAGGAUCUGUAAACAGGGAGACUUGUGAAAAUGGAGGAUCGCUUAGCGAGGAUCCUCUAUCAAUCACAGAGUAGUCAAUGAGACAUCCGUGGAUGUGGAAGCUGAAUUUCUUGAUCAUCAAUAUAUAAGGUGCUUCUACAUGGUAUGGUAGCGACUUUGUCAACGUUUUACUAUUUUUGUGAGAGAUCCCACAUCGGUUGGAGAGAGAAACAAAACAUUUCUUACAAGGGUGGUCCUCUCCCGCUCUCUCUCUAUCGGUCGAGCAGCUUCACUCCUUUCCAAUCUCAUUUUUUGAUCGACAGGAGUAUGCCAAAAGCUAGGUUACUACAUCGAACUGUUUGCUCGAGAGAUGAAUCCCGGAUGCCAUUUUUAAGAAUCACGAUGCUUCACAAUCACGUAAGUCAUGCCAUGCCGGGAUUCAUGCAUCUAUCCUCAUGCAGGGGGUGGGGUUAUGGCCUUGAAUUCGAGUAAUGGGUCAUUUUCCAAAGCCAUAUGGGGGGUGGCCACAUGCUUUGAUCUUUUGCCUAGCAUGGGCAUCUGCGAGUGCUCCCAAUCCCUCGAAGGAAAGCUGUCGUGUCAGCCACGGCCCCACCCUGCUGCUAAUUAUUUGUAUCAUAACCAACUCAUUUAUGCUUCUUCUAAUUAUUAGAAAACAUUUGUAUACAAUAAUAAAAUAAACAAUGUAAUAUCCUUAAAUUAAAUUUA